AGGGUUGUGGCUCAGAGGUAGAGCACUCCCCUACCAUGGGUGAGGCACUGGGUUCGAUCCUCAGCACCACAU
rfam:Ictidomys tridecemlineatus contig054320, whole genome shotgun sequence.